rnacentral:rRNA from 1 species
UACGUAGGGGGCAAGCGUUGUCCGGAAUGAUUGGGCGUAAAGGGCGCGUAGGCGGAUACAUAAGUCGGGCGUGAAAGGCACGGGCUCAACUCGUGUGAGCGUUCGAAACGGUGUAUCUUGAGUGCAGUAGAGGAAAGCGGAAUUUCUGGUGUAGCGGUGGAAUGCGUAGAUAUCAGAAGGAACACCGGUGGCGAAGGCGGCUUUCUGGACUGUAACUGACGCUGAGGCGCGAAGGCGUGGGGAGCAAACAGG